AUCACAUGUCUAACUAUUCCAUGCUUUUAUAUAUUAAAUAAAUUUCAUUUCCAUACCAUUCAAUGAUAUUAUUUAUAAGGAAUUAGUUUAGUUAUCGAGGAUAGAGAUCAUAGAAUAUGAUCAGUAUAUGAGAGGGCAAUUUAUGUGCAAAUUAGGCCAAGCUAAGACCAUAUGUUGGAAUGGACCGAGCCAGGUACACUCUUUUGGGCAUUGGGCCACGCUGUGGGUGAAAAUGAGAAUGGAGUAAACUCGGUCAAAGAUAGGGCGGAUAUUCAGCCCAGGGCUUGGAUCGAGGUGGUUAUAUUUGAUCCAAGCAGGACCGGGGUAUGAUGGUGG
rnacentral:misc_RNA from 1 species